rnacentral:lncRNA from 1 species
UAAAGUUUAAAUAUUUUUUUAGUAAUUAGAUAGUGUAUCAAUAAAAUUAUGUUAAUUUGAAAUAAUAUUGAAGUAAUUAUUGAUAGACCUAUUUUUUAGCAUUAAAGAAUAUAGCAUUCCUUUUGCAAAAAUAGAAAAAGAAAUUCAUACUUAUUCAAAUUUUUUUCACGUAGAGAAUAUCUACAACAGAAUAUUCUUGUCACGCCCCUGGGUCCUUUUAGUUUGAAACACAGCGGAAAAGCGUCAAUUUUUUUUUUUUUUUUUUUUUAAAAGCCUAACCCCAGGGUAUGCCAGAUCCACCACAAAUACAGGAAUUCCACUAUUCACACGGACAGAAUCUCCCCUGUAUUUGCACGGCGUCGCACAAGUACAAGAGUACAAACAUAAUACAACAACAACUAAAUGAACAUACAAACAUCCAACAGUUUUAUAUUCAUACACCAUUCACCACAGGUUCAUUCACAUAGUCUUAAUCAUGAAUCCACAUCUAUCAGUUAAAAUGAUUCCUAUCCGGAAACUGGUUUUGAAAUACUAAGUUACAAAAACCACGAGAAAGCUGUUUGAAAGCCGUUAUUCAUAAGGAAAAUCUUUUCUUUUAAAACAUGCUAUCACGAGGGAUAGAAAACCUUUCCAUUUCAUGAAAAUCCAAAAAUCAUUGUCUCAUUCAGAAAACCAACUGAAAUCUUGAAUAUUUUAACAUAAUGAAAUACUGAACCAUAUAAACCGACUAAGCUAUAUAUCAAUAGAAAUAAUAAGGGUAAAAACUAAACCGAAUAAUCUGGGUCGGAAGCUCUAUCGACCGCUACGAACGUACCUCACGUCUCGUCUCAACCUCACCGCCCGCAAUACCUGAAAAAUGGUGGGCGAUGUGAGAACAUGUAAACAUGUCUUCCCUCCCAGUGGGUAGCGCAAGCCGAUGAAGGCGAGGAGUACUCACCGGAUCAGGAAGAGAUAAACAACAAUAUGGGUAAGUGUAAUACUAAAUACAGUAGCAACAAUAAUGAACGAAAGAGAUAGAACUAUAAAUGAAAGCACAACUACCGCUACUGUAAUGAACAACUGAAAGUAUAUAUGCAGCUAAACUAUAGUAGCAAGACAAGUGUAAAGAAAGAACUGAAGGUAUACAAACAACAACCGCUACUAUAGUUAUAUGCGUCAAUCGGUCAAGAAGUCCAAAUAUACCCAAUCUGAAAUCUGCUGUUCUAUUGGUCCGCAGCGCAAACCUCAAGCCUAUGCCACUACUACUCUCCCAUGCAUAUAACCCCUCUAGGGCUCACGGGUUGACACCUACAACCACUUUUCCGGAAAAGAACACUCCUUGCGGUGGUCAUCCACUGCUCACCCAUGCUGCCAACAGCAGCCGCAACAACCCAGAAUACAUAAAAGCCCUCCCGAUUACCCGAAAUCGCAUUAUUUCAUGCGAUUUCGACGCUUUUAUGGUCCGUCUACACAAACCAGAAGUCAAUCAUCCAAACCGAGACACCCGCUGACAGGUCUCGGUGUGAUGGAGGCCAUGCUCACCUUUUGGAGCAAUUUCGGCCACUGCGGCAAGAGCGCGAGCGACACGAACUUCAGCGAAACUGCGCGCUGAAACUAAAAAUGCUUCAAAUUCACUCAUCCGGGGGUCUUUGACCUUAAAUGAGGUGAGCACUGUGAUCAACACUGACCGACGAUCACCGUGCUCACCUCCGGAGGCAUCAGAACAGCCUCAGGUCGCCGGAACAUUGAUCCCAAACCGAAACAAUGCACAGAACAACAAAAACAUUGCUUACCGGCCGGGGCAGAGCUAGGGCUGGCCGGCGGCGGCCGGAUGGCGGGCGCUCCGGCCGAGGACGAGCGCGGCCGGUCAAUGGGGUCCAGGGCAGGUGCUGGCCAGCGGCGGGAGGCGGCCGGUGGCGCGGCGGCUGCGAUCCAAUCCGCCAAGUUGCUCUCGGGUUCAAGGGCGCCGGCGGCAAGGCGACGGCCGGAGGAGGUCAGGGCGACGUCAAUCCGUCGGCGGAGGCCGAGGGUAUCAUGAUACGCCCCUCCGUGGGCGGCGGCGUCGUGCGGUGGCCGAGGUGGCUCGGCCUAGGCCCGCACCAGCUCUGGACAGCCGCAGAGUGGAAGAGCGGCGGCCGACGGCUUCGGGGACGUCCGUGGAUGAACGCCGGAGGUCGCCGGAGGUGUCUGGAGGGCGGCACUGCCGGCGGGGAGCAGCGGCACCGCGCGGAUGCCGAGAUCACCCAAGCUCGGUCUGGGUGAUCGCGGUUGGCCGCAAGGAGCUAGGGCGGCUCCGUCGGCGCUUUGGGACGGCGGGGCCGCGGGCGACGGCGAGCGGGAUGUCGCCAGAAGGCGGCGCGGCCGAUGGGGGCCGGUAGCCGCACACGAAACCCGAGAUCGAGCCUGCUCGGUCUGGGCUGACCCGAGCUGGCUGCAGCUUGCUCAGCUGGCUCCAGCGGCACGUGCUGACGACGGAAACGUCCGGUGAUGGUACCGGACGUUGGUCUCGGCCAGGGGAUGGUGACGCUCUGACUUAGAUGACUCCUUGAGACCCCAACCACAACGUGGUGGAGUGGUUGGCCGAACGGGAGGGAGAGGGUAGUGCGGAAGGGUUUUCCGGUGGUCGGAGAGGCUUGCCGGCGGUCAGGGCGCGCGCACGGUUGGGCAGGGAUGCAGGUGGGGCGGCUAGGGUUCAGUUCGGCUAAAGAGAAGGCCAAAAGCUAGGGUUUCCUCAUGAAACCCUAGUGCAACUACUAUAUACAUAUGUACAUUUUGCAAGAUAGUCCUCCCAGGGAUAAUAUUCUCAGUCAAGUCCUUCACAGCUCACGUAUUUUACACAUACGCACCUCCACGUCCGAUCUCACGCGAUUCGGCACAUAAAAUAUAGGGUCUCUUCGUGAUUUAUCCGUUUUGCCAAUUUGACCCCUCAGUGGACCUUUCGCGUUUCCCAUAGAUCCGUCCGUCAGAUUUGCGAACGGAUCGCACUAGUGCGAUCAGCACAACGGAGACAAUAAACCUACGAUUUUGAUUCACAUCGAUCGGUCAUGGAUUCGCGACGAAACCUGUCCGCUCUCCAAUUUCCAAAAAACCACACACAUAUACCAAUGUGUAAUCCCACUAAAUCCUAGAUUCAAAUUCAAAUUUGAAUCUCCUACUACUAGUAGGUACAUGUAACAUCACUCACCUUACUCUAGGUCACAUACGCAGAGCACGAGGAGUCUCAUUAUGCAAGAACAGCAAAGAGCGAAAACCCUCUUUUCGAUAAAAUCCCUUUUUCUCGAAAAUCGUGCAUCAGAUCUGAAAUCCGUCAGUGCCAUUGGUUCCAGAAUAGCUGAACUGGUCGAAACGAGCUAUUGGAUCGCUAUGAACGGAGUCCGAUACGCGCCGAAAGCCAACUCUACUCUGUGGCUUCUCCGAAAAAUCAGAGUUACUAUUCAUUUAAGUAAAAACUAAAAAUCGCGUAUCUUCUCCAUUUUAGCUCAUUUUCUCCUGAAACUUUACGAGUGCUUAUAUAAUUAAAUUACACAUAGGAACAUCAUCAACAGAGAGUCUAAUUACAUUGCCAAAAUCUCAGUCCUUACAUUAUCCCCCCUUUAAAUGAAGUUUCGUCCCCGAAACUUGACCACGUACCCACCGAAAUAGAAUUCAGAUAUUACUCCACCACUACAAUAUCACCCUUGAGUACUGGUCAAUCACAAAUCCUUGAAUUGGGCAAAUCAAUCUCCGAAUAAGGGAAGAAUAGGACCACGGCUCCACUCGGACAAAAACGAGGGAAAAACGUACCAACCCAAAAUCUACGGACCAAAACUCACCGGGAUCAACACCAUCCUAUAACCUGCGGAAAAAAACAGUCCCACUGCCAGGAUUCGUCGAUCCUAACUUUGCCAAUUCUGAGAUAACACUUCAACACUCAGAAAUUCUAGGUCCACUCAACCUUGAUCCGCAUACCAGUAACCGACUCGACUACGUCGCAAGUUCACGUAGAAAAGUCACGAGACACAACUACUAAUCUGGAGUCUAUUUACGUAGACUAAAAUGAAAUACUCCGACUAGCCCACAACAUCAACCUGCUCACCACGAGCGAAUACAAAACGUUGUUCUAUGACCUGAGUCGAAACUCUCACCUUGGAGACCACAGUCUCCCACCAAUAACCACACAAACUGCCAAAACCUCCAUCACCUGCCACAAUCUAUAGUCCUAGGUCCAAGACCUCACUUUCCACCUGACUAACAGGUCCAACUGACGAUACCAUUCGGGCUAGACAAUUUUGUCUCCUCAAACUUAACCAGUACCAACAGACCACUGAAAGCUCUUUGCAAGUCCAUCACUUGAUGCACAGGUCACCAAUCACAAAAGCGAUACUAACCGUCGGCGAUGCUCAACAUUUGUCUCCACGAGACCCUGUCGCUGCCGUCCAACCAGGGACCCUAGCGAUUGAUGUUCCGAGCAAUACCAAAAACAUGUCUCAUUGAGACCUAGGCGCACCUGUCACCUGUUUGACUGGACAAGCAUACUAUUUCUUGGUUUGCACGUUAAGCCGAGUCGCAAACCAUAUAUUCUAUCACAUACGAUGACAAUCAAAGCCAACAACCAGGCUAAAGUCACGCAACAACUGUAAUUCAGAACCGCCUAGCAAAAGGCCGAGACUAACAACCAAGGCAAACCUUUAGUUGUGGAAGGCACAACAAUAGAACCAACGAUCACCUAGACUCGAACCAAAGUAAAAACCAUCAGCAGUGACAGUAAGUCAACUGUGCAAAACCUGCCAGGGAAAUAAUCCAAGGCUCGCCAUAUGGUCAGAGAUGACCAUCACUCUAGCUUUUCCCACAAAACAGUCUAGAGAACACAUCGACCCAAUCCAUAAGUGCCAAACGGGAAGAUAGUAUUUCGUCCCUCUUUCGACAGUAUAUUGUCUGCAGCCAAUAUACUUAUCAAAAGAAAAGCGAAAUAUCCGAAGAUCCACUACCAACAACAAGUUGGAAGCACAACGCGUUAAAGUAUCAAGCCACUUGAUACCUCUCCACUGAACCAGAAGCUCACACCCAAAACCGUCGAAACAUCGACUUUGCAAGCCGACAUUCGAAAUCAGCCCGACCUUGAACCAACUCACAGGGAGUUUCAUAGUUUCAAUAUCUGAAAGCCACUAGCGACACUAAACCGCGAACCACACGGACUGAGGCUGUAAGAAAUGGUUUCUCUAACUAAUUUCCGCACCACAACCGAACUAUACCCAAGCUCCGAGAACUCCGACACUACCCAAGAGUAUCUCGAAUCAAAACAAACUCUACCACAAACCACAGACUAACCUACAACACACCAAUUUAGGUGUUAGAACAAUAGCAUACGAUGUAUGCAUCAACGAAAACCUGACACCAAACUGUGUCAAUCCGACUCUAGUGCACGUCAAUUUGACAAAAGAACUAGUUCAAGGUCAAAAGAUCCAAACCGCUGAUUCCAAUCAGCAAUCAAGGAGGAGAGGUAGGCAUCGCAACCCUACCCAAAGAUCUGCGGAAGCAAUACUAACAAUGCAGUCACCUAAAAGACCGCUAACCAAACCCUGGGCUAGGCCCUAGUAGCCCCACUGAAGUCACGAUCGUAACUGAUCACAGUGCCAUCUCCGUAGAGACACUCUCAACAGCUCUCGUGUCCUAAGUAGAGAGAGUGGCCUGAGCGUCGGCAGUUAUAACACUCGCCUAGGCUCGAAAUCUUACUUGGCCCUUCAAGGCCCCACCUGACAGGAGUGGCAACACCUGGGGAAUGUCGCCCCACCAUUCGAUGUCAGAAUAAGUACACCGCCACUACUCCCGACUUAGACACGAGCUUGUGCGAACCGUAACACAUACAGAAACACCAUGCACUUUGAGUUUACCAAACUCAAAUGCAGCCCAAGACACAAGUCCAAACCCCGCACUCACGUGCCUAUAUACCGUAGGUCUUUCUAUGGGUCAACCUAACCAAUGAUUCAGUUUCAUUUACUUUUCAAAACAACCUGUGAAUGGUAUUGUGGUUGUAACUUGGCUCUGAUACCACUUUAAUCUGUCACGCCUCGGGGUCCCUUUUAGUUUGAAACACAGCGGAAAAGUGUCUAAUUUUUUUUUUUUUUUAAAGCCUAACCCCAGGGUAUGCCAGAUCCGCCACAAAUACAGGGAUUCCACUGUUCACGCGGACAGAAUCUCCCCUAUAUUUGCACGGCAUUGCACAAGUACAAGAGUACAAACAUAAUACAACCACAACUAAAUAAACAUAUAAAUAUCCAACAGUUUUAUAUUCAUACACCAUUCACCACAGGUUCAUUCACAUAGUCUUAAUCAUGAAUCCACAUCUAUCAGUUAAAAUAAUUUCUAUCUGGAAACUGGUUUUGAAAUA